rnacentral:rRNA from 1 species
GACGUAGGGUGCGAGCGUUGUCCGGAUUUAUUGGGCGUAAAGAGCUCGUAGGCGGCUCGUCGCGUCGACCGUGAAAACCCGCGGCUUUAACUGCGGGCUUGCGGUUGAUACGGGCGGGCUAGAGUUCGGUAGGGGGAGACUGGAAUUCCUGGUGUAGCGGUGAAAUGCGCAGAUAUCAGGAGGAACACCGGUGGCGAAGGCGGGUCUCUGGGCCGAUACUGACGCUGAGGAGCGAAAAGCGUGGGGAGCGAACAGG